rnacentral:rRNA from 1 species
GAGACUCUGUGCGCGUGCAUAUCAAUAAGCGGAGGAAAAGAAACUAACAAGGAUUCCCCUAGUAACGGCGAGUGAAGCGGGAAGAGCUCAAAUUUGAAAUCUUCAAGGUUCUACCUUGACGAAUUGUAGUUUAAAGAAGUGUUUUCUGUUAGAUGAGUAGCAAAAGUUCCUUGGAAUGGGACAUCAUAGAGGGUGAGAAUCCCGUAUUUGGUUAUUCAUUCUAGCUUUGUGAUACACUUUCAAAGAGUCGGAUUGUUUGGGAAUGCAGUCCAAAAUGGGUGGUAAAUUUCAUCUAAAGCUAAAUAUUGGCGAGAGACCGAUAGCGAACAAGUACCGUGAGGGAAAGAUGAAAAGAACUUUGAAAAGAGAGUUAAACAGUACGUGAAAUUGUCAAAAGGGAAGCGUUUGACACCAGUGUUGUUUUUCCGAAAAUCAAUUACGAAUGGCUUGAUUUUGUGUUGUAUUGACCUUAUCAGCUUUCUUCACCUUUUUCGAGUCCUUUCUUAAUGCACUUUUCGGUUAACAAGUCAACAUCAAUUUCUUUUGUUGUAAAAGAGUAUUCGGAAGGUGGCUUUCUUUUCGGAGAAAGUGUUUAUAGCCCUAUACUUCUACAAUCGGAGAGAUUGAGGUCUGCAGCGUAGAUCCUUCGGGGUUAGAUACACUUUGUGCUAAGUUGUAGCUUUUCAUAGACAACUUGUUGACUAUGUUUAGUCAUGCGGCUUACUCGCUUAUGCUAUUUUACCUACGCUUAGGAUGUUGACUGAUAUGUAGUCGU